rnacentral:rRNA from 1 species
AAGACCUUGCGCUUUUGGAGCGGCCGAUGUCUGAUUAGCUUGUUGGUAAGGUAAAAGCUUACCAAGGCUUCGAUCAGUAGCUGGUCUGAGAGGACGGCCGGCCACACUGGGACUGAGACACGGCCCAGACUCCUACGGGAGGCAGCAGUGGGGAAUUUUGGACAAUGGGGGCAACCCUGAUCCAGCCAUGCCGCGUGAGUGAAGAAGGCCUUCGGGUUGUAAAGCUCUUUCGGCCGGAACGAAAUCGCAUCUCCUAAUACGGGGUGUGGAUGACGGUACCGGAAGAAGAAGCACCGGCUAACUACGUGCCAGCAGCCGCGGUAAUACGUAGGGUGCGAGCGUUAAUCGGAAUUACUGGGCGUAAAGCGUGCGCAGGCGGCUCUUCAAGUCAGAUGUGAAAGCCCCGGGCUUAACCUGGGAACU